rnacentral:rRNA from 1 species
GACGUAGGGCGCGAGCGUUGUCCGGAUUUAUUGGGCGUAAAGAGCUCGUAGGCGGCUUGUUGCGUCAGCUGUGAAAACCCGCAGCUCAACUGUGGGCUUGCAGCUGAUACGGGCAGACUAGAGUGCGGUAGGGGAGAUCGGAAUUCCUGGUGUAGCGGUGAAAUGCGCAGAUAUCAGGAGGAACACCUGAGGUGAAGACGGGUUGCUGGGCUGAUACUGACGCUGAGGCGCGAAAGCUAGGGUAGCAAACGGG